GAUGAACGCUGGCGGCGUGCCUAAUACAUGCAAGUCGAGCGAACGGACGAGAAGCUUGCUUCUCUGAUGUUAGCGGCGGACGGGUGAGUAACACGUGGAUAACCUACCUAUAAGACUGGGAUAACUUCGGGAAACCGUAGCUAAUACCGGAUAAUAUUUUGAACCGCAUGGUUCAAAAGUGAAAGACGGUCUUGCUGUUACUUAUAGAUGGAUCCGCGCUGCAUUAGCUAGUUGGUAAGGUAACGGCUUACCAAGGCAACGAUGCAUAGCCGACCUGAGAGGGUGAUCGGCCACACUGGAACUGAGACACGGUCCAGACUCCUACGGGAGGCAGCAGUGGGGAAUCUUCCGCAAUGGGCGAAAGCCUGACGGAGCAACGCCGCGUGAGUGAUGAAGGUCUUCGGAUCGUAAAACUCUGUUAUUAGGGAAGAACAUAUGUGUAAGUAACUGUGCACAUCUUGACGGUACCUAAUCAGAAAGCCACGGCUAACUACGUG
rnacentral:rRNA from 1 species